CCCGCUCAAGUAAACUUAAAGGAAGUUAGACGGGGCCCGGCACAAGCGGAGGAGCAUGUGGUUUAAUUCGAUGAUACGCGAGGAACCUUACCUGGGCUCGAACGUAAGAUGACUGUAGGUGAAAGCUUACAUCUCUUCGGAGCAUUUUACGAGGUGCUGCAUGGUUGUCGUCAGCUCGUGCCGUGAGGUGUCGGGUUAAGUCCCAUAACGAGCGCAACCCUACCUUUAGUUGCCAUCAGGUAAUGCUGGGGACUCUAAAGGAACUGCCUACGCAAGUAGUGAGGAAGGCGGGGAUGACGUCAAAUCAGCACGGCCCUUACGUCCAGGGCUACACACGUGCUACAAUGGCCGAUACAGAGGGCAGCUACCUGGUGACAGGAUGCAAAUCUCCAAAGUCGGUCUCAGUUCGGAUCGGAGUCUGCAACCCGACUCCGUGAAGUUGGAUUCGCUAGUAAUCGCGCAUCAGCCAUGGCGCGGUGAAUACGUUCCCGGGCCUU
rnacentral:rRNA from 1 species